GAUGAAGCCAAUAGAACCACGUCAUCUGCGAAUAGCAGAGAAGCAAUCCUAAGGCCACCAAAACGGAUCCCCUCAAAACCUUGGCUGUGCCUAUGUAACCUGGUUGUAUUUUUUUUUUUUUGUUAUAAUUACACAAAAUGUUUUCAUUUGGUUAUUUGUAUUGUCACUUACCUGACUGAAACACCUCUAGAAAUUCUGUCACUGUUUUAACUGUGUUACUUUAAGAAUGGAAGCCCCUCCUUUUUGGUUCUUCUUCUGUGGUAUUGCCUUUAAAUAGUUUGCACCCCUUAGGCCCUCCCCCUUUGUCAUGUUGUCCUGCGGGAGAGGACUUGGAGCGGGCAGCCUAUAACACGGUUGUAUGUUGUUCUCGUCAGGUAUGUGGCAUAAAGAAGGUUUAUUUUCUUUAUUGUUGUGAGACAUGGUUCGCCCCUUUUGUCAUGUUGUCCUGCGGGAGAGGACUUGGAACGGGCAGCCUAUAACACGGUUGUAUGUUGUUCUCGUCAGGUACAAUAAAUCAAGAAACCGUCAUUUUAAAGACAAA